GCCCGCCUAGCUCAAUCGGCUAGAGCGUCAGACUUUUACGAAGAAGUAGGCAUCUGAAGGCUGCGAGUUCGACCCUCGCGGUGGGCU